GACGAACCGUGCGAACGUUGUUCGGAAUCACUGGGCUUAAAGGGCGCGUAGGCGGGCUGGCAAGUCAGGGGUGAAAGCCCACGGCUCAACCGUGGAAGUGCCUUUGAUACUGCCAGCCUUGAGGGAGGUAGGGGCGUGCGGAACUUCCGGUGGAGCGGUGAAAUGCGUAGAUAUCGAGAGGAACACCUGCGGCGAAGGCGGGUUGCUGGGCCGACACUGACGCUGAUGCGCGAAAGCCAGGGGAGCGAACGGG
rnacentral:rRNA from 1 species